UUACAUCCCUUGAUAAAUAACUGUUUUGUCCACUUGCUGCCAUUGUUGAGCAUCUUUGAGAAGAAAGUUCUGUAAUGCCCUUCUCUCCACCUGAGACUGAGCUCCAAAUGAAACGGUGCACGAGAACUCAGUGGUCCUCGAGGUGUUUGUUAGUGUGGGCUAGCUUCCCUGCUCUAUUUAUUUAUGUAUUGUCUUAAUUUUAUCAGAGUUUAAAAAUGAAGACAGCUGCUAACCAUUGUGGACCAAAUGUCAUGCUACCACUAAACAAAAGACCCACUCAGUCUGUGUUAAAUUGUAUGUCUUGUAUUUGGAAAUUCGUCUAAGCUUUAAAGAGGGCCGGGCAGCUCGAGAACCUGAGAUACGGACCUAACUCUGGACCUGGUCCUGUUGUGUUAGCUGUUCCGUGAGCCUCUGAAGAGCAAUAGCUAAUUUAUUAUUACUGUAAUUUUUUAAAGGCUUUAAAGUGCCUCAGGGGUCCCCUGAAACUAAUUUUCUAUUUCUGGGAUUCCCUGGAUUCUUUAUAAGAGAUGGUGACAUGACUAGGGAAAUUCUUUUUUUAGUAUGAAAAUUGUCCCUUCAAUACCUUUCUCUUACUGGCAUUGAAUUAUCACAGAGACAGAAAAUUGGUAAAUUUUUUUAAUUUCUAACUCUCCCAGGAAACUCCUUGCCUAGUAUUUAUUUGAUAUGCUUUAACCAUGGGGGGGUGGACCUCAAGCUGCCAGUAUUGAUCUACAGACUGUAGCAGUACACUGGGCUGUACUGUCAGGGAUGGCAAGAUGCUCUGGGGUGUAUUGGAUACCUCCAGUUUCUUCACUUCUGGAUUGAGUUUUCUUUUCUUAAUGUUGGUCCUCUUCACAUCACCUCAAGGUUUAGACUUGUGAAGGAACAAGUCUGAUGAGGAUAAUAGUCUUGAAAGGAGACACUGUACAGAAUUGGAAGAAGGAAAGAAAAGACUUGUUCAUUGUGAUACUUUCUGUAGGUGGCCAGUUUGUUUCUCAUAGGGAAAUCCUGGACCACCUGUCAUGUUGGCUCCUAAGGAACUGCUGUUGUAAGCGGCUCAUCAAGAGUUGAAGUUCAUGUAGCCUUGUUGGGAAUAUGGAAAAGGAAGAAAGCCACAGGACUGCCAGUUCAGUCUGGGAAGAUCUGGAUGAUUCUGCACAUGCAAAAAUGACUUGAAGUUUCUGUAUAGACGCUUGUACCGAUCCAUCUUCAGCUGACUGAAUGUUGUAUGAUAGCCCUUCUCCAAAGCAGAGGUGGAAGGUUCUGGUUUCACCACACAUUUUAUAAACACAUCUCCUGUUUUGAAUUGGCCUAUAGGUUGUAGGCCUCUUUUGUAUAUAACCUCUAUUAUUUUGCUUUAAAAAAAAAAAAAGGUCUGUUCAUAUUUAAUGCCCUGUAUUAGUCAAUGAUUUGUGUUCAACAUUAUUUGAACCAUUUGCCAUUAACGAAAGAGAAAUACUUAUUUGUGUUUUAAAUAAAACUGAUAUAGG
rnacentral:lncRNA from 1 species